GACGAACGCUGGCGGCGUGCUUAACACAUGCAAGUCGAACGGAAAGGCCCUGCUUUUGUGGGGUGCUCGAGUGGCGAACGGGUGAGUAACAAGUGAGUAACCUGCCCUUGACUUUGGGAUAACUUCAGGAAACUGGGGCUAAUACCGGAUAGGAGCUCCUGCUGCAUGGUGGGGGUUGGAAAGUUUCGGCGGUUGGGGAUGGACUCGCGGCUUAUCAGCUUGUUGGUGGGGUAGUGGCUUACCAAGGGUUUGACGGGUAGCCGGCCUGAGAGGGUGACCGGCCACAUUGGGACUGAGAUACGGCCCAGACUCCUACGGGAGGCAGCAGUGGGGAAUAUUGCACAAUGGGCGGAAGCCUGAUGCAGCAACGCCGCGUGCGGGAUGACGGCCUUCGGGUUGUAAACCGCUUUCGCCUGUGACGAAGCGUGAGUGACGGUAAUGGGUAAAGAAGCACCGGCUAACUACGUG
rnacentral:rRNA from 1 species